GAGGAGAGUGAUGAGGAGACCAGCUUCCCUGCUGCUGGCCAGGAGUGAGCUGCUAAAGGAAGAUAGCAGUGGGCCUCAGGGCUCUCUGCAGAUGAGAUACCUCAAGGUGGAGCUUCUUUCAUGGACAUUUAAUGGAAGCCCCUUCCUUUAUGGAUUAAGAUAUUCAUUUUGCAAUAAACAUGAUCUAUUGUGUCA